CCUACGGGAGGCAGCAGUGGGGAAUUUUGGACAAUGGGCGAAAGCCUGAUCCAGCAAUGCCGCGUGAGUGAAGAAGGCCUUCGGGUUGUAAAGCUCUUUUGUCAGGGAAGAAACGGUGAGGGCUAAUAUCCUUUGCUAAUGACGGUACCUGAAGAAUAAGCACCGGCUAACUACGUGCCAGCAGCCGCGGUAAUACGUAGGGUGCAAGCGUUAAUCGGAAUUACUGGGCGUAAAGCGUGCGCAGGCGGUUUUGUAAGUCUGAUGUGAAAUCCCCGGGCUCAACCUGGGAAUUGCAUUGGAGACUGCAAGGCUAGAAUCUGGCAGAGGGGGGUAGAAUUCCACGUGUAGCAGUGAAAUGCGUAGAUAUGUGGAGGAACACCGAUGGCGAAGGCAGCCCCCUGGGUCAAGAUUGACGCUCAUGCACGAAAGCGUUGGGGAGCAAACAGGAUUAGAUACCCUGGUAGUCCACGCCCUAAACGAUGUCUACUAGUUGUCGGGUCUUAAUUGACUUGGUAACGCAGCUAACGCGUUGAAGUACGACCGCCUGGGGAGUACGGUCGCAAAGNUUAAAACCGNAAANAGAGUAGAGCGNGAGAGNGCGACGGACGACGACGAGGGAGGAGG
rnacentral:rRNA from 1 species